rnacentral:rRNA from 1 species
AGAGUUUGAUCCUGGCUCAGAUUGAACGCUGGCGGCGUGCUUAACACAUGCAAGUCGUGCGAGAAAGGGGACUUCGGUCCCUGAGUAGAGCGGCGCACGGGUGAGUAACGCGUGGAUUAUCUACCCAGACGUUCGGGAUAACGGCGGGAAACUGCCGCUAAUACCGGAUACGCUCCAAUUUCGGUUGGGGGAAAGGCGGCCUCUGCUUGCAAGCUGUCGCAUCUGGAUGAGUCCGCGUCCCAUUAGCUUGUUGGUGGGGUAAUGGCCUACCAAGGCUACGAUGGGUAGCUGGUCUGAGAGGAUGAUCAGCCACACUGGAACUGAAACACGGUCCAGACUCCUACGGGAGGCAGCAGUGGGGAAUAUUGCGCAAUGGGGGAAACCCUGACGCAGCGACGCCGUGUGAGGGAAGAAGGCUUUCGGGUCGUAAACCUCUGUCAGAAAGGAAGAACCUCCCAAGUCCGAAUAGGGCUUGGGACUGACGGUACUUUCAAAGGAAGCACCGGCUAACUCCGUGCCAGCAGCCGCGGUAAUACGGAGGGUGCAAGCGUUAAUCGGAAUCACUGGGCGUAAAGCGCGCGUAGGCCGCUUUGUAAGUCGGACGUGAAAGCCCUCGGCUCAACCGGGGAACUGCGUUCGAUACUGCGAGGCUUGAGUCCUGGAGAGGGUGGCGGAAUUCCGGGUGUAGGAGUGAAAUCCGUAGAUAUCCGGAGGAACACCGGUGGCGAAGGCGGCCACCUGGACAGGUACUGACGCUGAGGCGCGAAAGCGUGGGGAGCAAACAGGAUUAGAUACCCUGGUAGUCCACGCCGUAAACGAUGGAUGCUAGGUGUCGGGGAGCGAUCCUCGGUGCCGGAGUUAACGCAUUAAGCAUCCCGCCUGGGGAGUACGGUCGCAAGGCUGAAACUCAAAGGAAAUUGACG